GCAAAUUACCCACUCCCGGCACGGGGAGGUAGUGACAAAAAUAACGAUACGGGACUCAUCCGAGGCCCCGUAAUCGGAAUGAGCACACUUUAAAUCCUUUAACGAGUAUCCAUUGGAGGGCAAGUCUGGUGCCAGCAGCCGCGGUAAUUCCAGCUCCAAUAGCGUAUAUUAAAGUUGUUGCGGUUAAAAAGCUCGUAGUCGGACUUGUGUCACACGCUGCCGGUUCACCGCCCGUCGGUGUCUAACUGGCAUGCACGUGCUGACGUCCUGCCGGUGGCCCGAGCCGGCCCGGGAGUCUGGGUGCGGGAUUCCCUUCGGGGGCCCGCCUCGAACCCGGUGUCUGGGGAGGGCCUACUCAUACCCCUCGCGGUGCUCUUAACCGAGUGUCUCGAUGGGCCGGCACGUUUACUUUGAACAAAUUAGAGUGCUUAAAGCAGGCAGCAUCCGCCUGAAUACUGAGUGCAUGGAAUAAUGGAAUAGGACCUCGGUUCUAUUUUGUUGGUUUUCGGAAUCCCCGAGGUAAUGAUCAAUAGGGACAGACGGGGGCAUUCGUAUUGCGACGUUAGAGGUGAAAUUCUUGGAUCGUCGCAAGACGGACCGAAGCGAAAGCAUUUGCCAAGAAUGUUUUCUCUGAUCAAGAACGAAAGUUAGAGGUUCGAAGGCGAUCAGAUACCGCCCUAGUUCUAACCAUAAACGAUGCCAGCCAGCAAUCCGCCGAAGUUCCUCCGAUGACUCGGCGGGCGGCUUCCGGGAAACCAAAGCUUUUGGGUUCCGGGGGAAGUAUGGUUGCAAAGCUGAAACUUAAAGGAAUUGACGGAAGGGCACCACCAGGAGUGGAGCCUGCGGCUUAAUUUGACUCAACACGGGAAACCUCACCAGGCCCGGACACCGGGAGGAUUGACAGAUUGAGAGCUCUUUCUUGAUUCGGUGGGUGGUGGUGCAUGGCCGUUCUUAGUUGGU
rnacentral:rRNA from 1 species